GGCCUCAUAGCUCAGUUGGCAAGAGUUUUUGCUUCACUUAAGCCUUCCCUUUGCUGGCGUGGGUUCGAAUCUCACCAAGGCCA
rnacentral:tRNA from 1 species